GCCAGGUGUGGUAGCGCGUGCCUGUAGUCCCAGCUACUCGGGAGGCUGAGGAGGGAGGAUCGCUUGAGCCCAGGAGUUCUGGGCUGCAGUGCGCUAUGCCGAUCGGGUGUCUGCACUAAGUUCGGCAUCAAUAUGGGGACCUCCCGGGAGCGGGGGACCACCAGGUUGCCUAAGGAGGGGUGAACCGGCCCAGGUCAGAAAACAAUCAGAAGAGAUCUUAGCUCAAGAUAGGGUUUCAACAGAAAUAACUAUCUUCCACUCCCCAACCUUACUUUGGAUUUUACCUGC
rnacentral:SRP_RNA from 1 species